GUAAAAAUCCUCACUAAUCGUAUAUUUCAAAUAUCCAAGAUCUUAAUUCAUUAAAACUCUCAUAUCCUUCAAUUUGACUUUUUGAUUGAUAUCAAAUUUUUCAAAUAUAAUGAUAACAAGCAUAAUAAAAAACUUCCAAAAUGUCACUUGUAAAUGUGCUAUGACACUUACACAAUAUUUAAAAUUGUAAUCCUCUUUUUAUUUCUCAAAAUCCAAAACCACU
rnacentral:lncRNA from 1 species